rnacentral:rRNA from 1 species
UACGCAGGGGGCGAGCGUUGUUCGGAAUUACUGGGCGUAAAGGGCGCGUAGGCGGUGCAUCAAGUCAGGCGUGAAAGCCCCGGGCUCAACCUGGGAACGGCGCUUGAGACUGGUGCGCUCGAGUUCGGGAGAGGAUGGUGGAAUUCCCAGUGUAGAGGUGAAAUUCGUAGAUAUUCGCAAGAACACCAGUGGCGAAGGCAGCUCACUGGCCCGGUACUGACGCUGAGGUGCGAAAGCGUGGGGAGCAAACAGG